rnacentral:rRNA from 1 species
UACAGAGGUCUCAAGCGUUGUUCGGAUUCAUUGGGCGUAAAGGGUGCGUAGGCGGUGUGGAAAGUCGAAUGUGAAAUCUUGGGGCUCAACCCCGAAACUGCACUCGAUACUACCAUACUAGAGGAUUGUAGAGGAGAUCGGAAUUCACGGUGUAGCAGUGAAAUGCGUAGAUAUCGUGAGGAAGACCAGUGGCGAAAGCGGAUCUCUGGGCAACUCCUGACGCUGAGGCACGAAGGCUAGGGGAG